CCCAGUUUCAGCCUUAGCAUUUAGCGUAUAAGGUCCUUUACUAUACAAUCUGGUGUUCGAUUAGCCGACAGACAGACAGACAGACAAAUUUUAAUGAGAACAAUAUCCCAGUUUCAGCCUUAGUAUUUACCAUAUAAAGUCCUUUACUAUACAAUCUGGUGUUUGAAUAGCCGACAGACAGACAGACAAAUUUUAAUGAGAACAAUAUCCCAUUUUCAGCCUUAGUAUUUAGCAUAUAAAGUCCUUCUUCUACCAUACAAUCUGGUGUUUGAAUAGCCAACAGACAGACAGACAAAUUUUAAUGAGAACCACAUCCCAGUUUCAGCCUUAGUAUUUACCAUAUAAGGUCCUUUACUAUACAAUCUGGUGUUCGAUUAGCCGACAGACAGACAGACAAAUUUUAAUGAGAACAAUAUCCCAGUUUCAGCCUUAGUAUUUAGCAUAUAAAGUCCUUCUUCAACUAUACAAUCUGGUGUUCGAAUAGCCGACAGACAGACAGACAAAUUUCAUUGAGAACCAUAUCCCAUUUUCAGCCUUAGUAUUUAGCAUAUAAAGUCCUUCUACCAUACAAUCUACACACGGUUUUCGAACAUCCGACAGACCUCUUCUAAGUUGUACUCCUUUCAGAAAAUAAAAUAUACGUAAUCUAUCACAAGGGAACAAACAUGUGACACUUCAGCUAUAGGAACCAAUGCGCUGGCGACAUUUUUUUGACGCCAGACGGGAAAGAUCGACUGAGGGGGGAGGGGGGGGACACACGACAACCAUCACCACCGUCACCGUAAUCAGUUGCAGUGCGGAUGAAGUAACUCGCUUUCGAAAUAUACAUUCUACGGGGGACUACGGAGCCUGCCAGCGAGACCAACGGAUCGUGGGAGAAGAAAGGAGAAAGAACGCAAGAGAGAGAAAGGCUGAAAAAGGUAAGGCCUAAGUUUGAGAGGGAAAAAAAGGAAAGAAUGAAAAUAAGGUGAGGAUUAAGUUUGUGAAAGAAAGAAAGAAUGAAGAUGAAGGUUAAGUUAAAGGAAGAAUGAAAGUGAUUGGGACAAGAAAGGAGAAAGAACGCAAGAGAGAGAAAGGAUGAAAAAGGUAAGGCUUAAGUUUGAGAGGGAAAGAAAGGAAAGAAUGAAAAUAAGGUGAGGAUUAAGUUUGUGAAAGAAAGAAAGAAUGAAUGAAGAUGAAGGUUAAGUUAAAGGAAGAAUGAAAGUGAUUGCAUAGUAUUAGAAAAUGCAGAGAAAGAAGGAAUGAAAGAGAAUGAAAUAAAGAGGGAAAAUAAAAACAGGAGACAGCAAGGACAGAAGGAAAGGAAGAGGAAAUAAAACUGACAAAACGAGCAGAAUAAAAGAGAAAACAGAGAAAGAGAAGGAAAGCAUAAAAAUGAAAGAAGAAGAAGAAUGAGAGAAUUGAAGCAAAAGAAUAAGGAAACAGAGAAAGACA